ACUUACGGCCAAACCACUCUGAAAGCGCCCGAUCUCGUCUGAUCUUGGAAGCAUUCCAGGUCCGGCCUGGUUAGUACCUGGAUGGGAGACCUCCUGGGAAUACCAGGUGUCAUAGGCU
rnacentral:rRNA from 1 species